AUUGAACGCUAGCGGGAUGCUUUACACAUGCAAGUCGAACGGAGUGGCGGACGGGUGAGUAAUAUAUCGGAACGUGCCCAGUAGCGGGGGAUAACUACGCGAAAGAGUGGCAAAUCCCGCAUACCAUUGGCGCAGCCGAGAUCGGAUUAUCUAGUUGGUGGGGUAAAGGCUCACCAAGGCAACGAGCCGUAGCGGGUUUGAGAGGACGACCAGCCACACGGGGACUGGGACACGGCCCAGACUCCUACGGGAGGCAGCAGGGGGGAAUUUUGGACAAUGGGGGAAACCCUGAUCCAGCCAGCCCGCGUGUAUGAUGAAGGCCUUCGGGUUGUAAAGUACUUUUGGCAGAGAAGCGGUAACUGCAGAAUAAGCACCGGCUAACUACGUGCCAGCAGCCGCGGUAAUUC
rnacentral:rRNA from 1 species